GACGAACGCUGGCGGCGUGCUUAACACAUGCAAGUCGAACGGAAAGGCCCUGCGUUUGUGGGGUGCUCGAGUGGCGAACGGGGGAGUAACACGUGAGUAACCUGCCCUUGACUGUGGGAUAACUUCAGGAAACUGGGGCUAAUACCGGAUAGGAGCUCCUGCUGCAUGGUGGGGGUUGGAAAGAUUCGGCGGUUGGGGAUGGACUCGCGGCUUAUCAGCUUGUUGGGGGGGUAGUGGCUUACCAAGGCUUUGACGGGUAGCCGGCCUGGGAGGGUGACCGGCCACCUUGGGACUGCGGUACGCAGCAGACUCCUACGGGAGGCAGCAGUGGGGAGUAUUGCACAGUGGGCGGACGCCUGUUGCAGCGACGCCGCGUGCGGGAUGCCGGCCUUCGGGUUGUGAACCGCUUUCGCCUGUGACGAAGCGUGAGUGACGGUAACGGGUAAAGAAGCACCGGCUAACUACGUG
rnacentral:rRNA from 1 species